GCUUGGGCAAUCUGGCUGCUACAUCUGUCACCCCAUUGAUGGCCAGGUUGAUUGGGCUGAUCUGGCUAGCCAGGAUAUACAUCACCUUCCUCCCUCACUGCUCCAGGUGGGUCCCUCUCAAAGCUCCACAUGCUAGGUUGAAGAGGAGGCCCAUCCCUGCUAGAGGAGGACUGGUCUUUGGUAAAGAGUAUAUAAGUAGCUGCACUCCUUUGCUAGAACCUCCAACAAGCUCUCAAGGUCCCUGAGAAUUAUUUUUUUCCACUAAGAAGAAUUCCUAACUUUAUUUUGUCAAUUAUUA
ensembl:misc_RNA 7SK 7SK RNA